rnacentral:rRNA from 1 species
UACGUAGGGGGCAAGCGUUGUCCGGAUUUAUUGGGCGUAAAGCGCGUGUAGGCGGCCAGAUAGGUCUGCUGUGAAAACUCGAGGCUCAACCUCGAGCUGUCGGCGGAAACCAUCUGGCUAGAGUCCGGAAGAGGAGAGUGGAAUUCCCGGUGUAGCGGUGAAAUGCGCAGAUAUCGAGAGGAACACCAGUGGCGAAGGCGAGUCCCUGGACAGGUCCUGACGCUGAGGCACGAAAGCUAGGGGAGCAAACAGG